rnacentral:rRNA from 1 species
GUCCACGCCAUAAACGAUGACAACUAGACGUUGGGGGCAUAUGGCCCACAGUGUCGCAGCUAACGCGUUAAGUUGUCCGCCUGGGGAGUACGGCCGCAAGGUUGAAACUCAAAGGAAUUGACGGGGACCCCGCACAAGCGGUGGAGCAUGUGGUUUAAUUCGAUGCAACGCGAAGAACCUUACCUGGUCUUGACAUCCAUGGGAUCCCGAAGAGAUUUGGGAGUGCCGCAAGGAACCAUGAGACAGGUGCUGCAUGGCUGUCGU